UACGUAGGGCGCAAGCGUUUAUCCGGAAUUAUUGGGCGUAAAGGGCUCGUAGGCGGUUUGUCGCGUCGGGAGUGAAAACCUCGGGCUUAACUCGGGGCUUGCUUUCGAUACGGGCAGACUAGAGUGCGGUAGGGGAGACUGGAAUUCCUGGUGUAGCGGUGAAAUGCGCAGAUAUCAGGAGGAACACCGGUGGCGAAGGCGGGUCUCUGGGCCGUAACUGACGCUGAGGAGCGAAAGCAUGGGGAGCGAACAGG
rnacentral:rRNA from 1 species